GGCCUACCAUGGUGGUAACGGGUAACGGGGUGUUAGGGCACGACACCGGAGAGGGAGCCUGAGAAACGGCUACCACAUCCAAGGAUGGCAGCAGGCGCGCAAAUUACCCAAUCCCGACACGGGGAGGUAGUGACAAUAAAUAACAAUACGGGGUUCUUUAGGAUCUCGUAAUUGGAAUGAGUACAAUUUAAAUCUCUUAACGAGGAACAAUUGGAGGGCAAGUCUGGUGCCAGCAGCCGCGGUAAUUCCAGCUCCAAUAGCGUAUAUUAAAGUUGUUGCAGUUAAAAAGCUCGUAGUUGAACUUCGGGGUCUACCCAUUGGUCAGGCUUAAUUGUCUGUACUGGUGAGAUGGAUCUCUACCUUCUGAGGAACUUUCAUGCCAUUUAUUUGGUGUGGUUGGAAAUCAGGACUGUUACUUUGAAAAAAUUAGAGUGUUUAAAGCAGACUAUCGUCUGAAUACAUUAGCAUGGAAUAAUGAAAUAGGACGGACUGAUUCUAUUUCGUUGGUUUCUAGGAUCACCGUAAUGAUUAAUAGGGAUAGUUGGGGGCAUUAGUAUUCAAUUGUCAGAGGUGAAAUUCUUGGAUUUAUUGAAGACUAACUACUGCGAAAGCAUUUGCCAAGGAUGUUUUCAUUAAUCAAGAACGAAAGUUAGGGGAUCGAAGACGAUCAGAUACCGUCGUAGUCUUAACCAUAAACUAUGCCGACUAGGGAUCGGAUGAUGUUAAUUUUUUAAUGACUCAUUCGGCGCCUUACG
rnacentral:rRNA from 1 species